CCAGCAUCAGCCAUCAAACUGCUUCGGCAUCAUCAGUGGUACCUUACAAGUCACCUGCCAAGGGCUGUUUCGGGAAGAACUCCUUCAUCAUGAAGUACGUUCUUGUUGUGAUGUUGCUGAUUGGCCUCGGCCUGGCAGUUCCCGUUCCUGAGGAGGAGCAUAUGGGGAGUGAGCGUUUUUCUGGUUGGGAGUUUCCUGAGGAGGAGCACAGAAGGAGCGAGCGUUUCUCCAGUUGGAAGGUUCCACAGGAGGAGCACAGGAGGAGUGAACGUUCCUCCAGUCGGGAG